CGUGAGACAGUUCGGUCCCUAUCUGCCGUGGGCGCUGGAGAACUGAGGGGGGCUGCUCCUAGUACGAGAGGACCGGAGUGGACGCAUCACUGGUGUUCGGGUUGUCAUGCCAAUGGCACUGCCCGGUAGCUAAAUGCGGAAGAGAUAAGUGCUGAAAGCAUCUAAGCACGAAACUUGCCCCGAGAUGAGUUCUCCCUGACUCCUUGAGAGUCCUGAAGGAACGUUGAAGACGACGACGUUGAUAGGCCGGGUGUGUAAGCGCAGCGAUGCGUUGAGCUAACCGGUACUAAUGAACCGUGAGGCUUAACCUUACAACGCCGAAGCUGUU
rnacentral:rRNA from 1 species